ACKGCUCAGUAACACGUAGCUAACCUGCCCUCAAGCCCGUGAUAUCCUCGGGAAACUGAGGUUAAUAACGGAUAGAUGAUUUUUUCUGGAAUGAUUAAUCGUCGAAAUUUCGCGUGAGGAUGGGGCUGCGGCGGAUUAGGUAGUUGGCGGGGUAAUAGCCCACCAAGCCGAUGAUCCGUAAGGGCCUUUAGCGAGGAAGCCCUGAGAGGGAGUCUGAGAUACUACUCCCAGCCCUACGGGGUGCAGCAGUCGGGAAACUUUUGCAAUACACGAAAGUGUGACAAAGCAAGCCAGAGUGCUCUUCUUUUUAGAAGAGCUUUUGUGAGAUGUAAAAAGUCUUGCGAAUAAGGACUGGGCAAGACUGGUGCCAGCCGCCGCGGUAACACCGGCGGCUCGAGUGGUAACCGUUAUUAUUGGGUCUAAAGGGUCUGUAGCCGGCCGGAUAAGUCUCUUGAGAAAUCUGGCAGCUUAACUGUCAGGCUAUCAGGGGAUACUGUCUGGCUCGAGGCCGGGAGAGGUGAGAGGUACUUCAGGGGUAGGGGUGAAAUCUUGUAAUCCUUGAAGGACCACCAGUGGCGAAGGCGUCUCACCAGAACGGACCUGACGGCAAGGGACGAAAGCUAGGGGCACGAACCGGAUUAGAUACCCGGGUAGUCCUAGCCGUAAACGAUACUCGCUAGGUGUCGGCCACGGUGCGACCGUGGUCGGUGCCGUAGGGAAGCCGUGAAGCGAGCCACCUGGGAAGUACGGCCGCAAGGCUGAAACUUAAAGGAAUUGGCGGGGGAGCAC
rnacentral:rRNA from 1 species